rnacentral:piRNA from 1 species
UGCCAAGCUCUAUAUGGAUUUCACUGGC